CUACGGGUCGCAGCAGUGAGGAAUAUUGCACAAUGGGGGGAACCCUGAUGCAGCAACGCCGCGUGGAGGAUGACGCAUUUCGGUGUGUAAACUCCUUUUAUAUGUCAAGAAAAUGACGGUAGCAUAUGAAUAAGCACCCGCUAACUCCGUGCCAGCAGCCGCGGUAAUACGGAGGGUGCAAGCGUUAAUCGGAAUCACUGGGCGUAAAGGACGCGUAGGCGGGUUGGAAAGUCAGGUGUGAAAUCCUACAGCUUAACUGUAGAACUGCACUUGAAACUUCUAAUCUAGAGUAUGGGAGGGGGAGAUGGAAUUAGUGGUGUAGGGGUAAAAUCCGUAGAUAUCACUAGGAAUACCUAAAGCGAAGGCGAUCUCCUGGAACAUUACUGACGCUAAGGCGUGAAAGCGUGGGGAGCAAACAGGAUUAGAUACCCGGGUAGUC
rnacentral:rRNA from 1 species